GGUAGCCGGCCUGAGAGGGUGUCCGGCCACACUGGGACUGAGAUACGGCCCAGACUCCUACGGGAGGCAGCAGUGGGGAAUAUUGCACAAUGGGCGCAAGCCUGAUGCAGCGACGCCGCGUGGGGGAUGACGGCCUUCGGGUUGUAAACCUCUUUCAGUAGGGACGAAGCGCAAGUGACGGUACCUACAGAAGAAGGACCGGCCAACUACGUGCCAGCAGCCGCGGUAAUACGUAGGGUCCGAGCGUUGUCCGGAAUUACUGGGCGUAAAGAGCUCGUAGGUGGUUUGUCGCGUUGUUCGUGAAAUCUCACAACUCAAUUGUGAGCGUGCGAGCGAUACGGGCANACUGGAGUACUGCAGGGGAGA
rnacentral:rRNA from 1 species